rnacentral:rRNA from 1 species
CUCUGACCUCGGAUCAGGUAGGGAUACC